UACGGGAGGCAGCAGUGGGGAAUAUUGCACAAUGGGCGAAAGCCUGAUGCAGCUAUGCCGCGUGUAUGAAGAAGGCCUUAGGGUUGUAAAGUACUUUCAUCGGGGAGGAAAAAACAAAACUAAUAAUUUUAUUUCUUGACGUUACCCGAAAAAGAAGCACCGGCUAACUCCGUGCCAGCAGCCGCGGUAAUACGGAGGGUGCUAGCGUUAAUCAGAAUUACUGGGCGUAAAGAGCACGUAGGUGGUUUUUUUAAGUCAGAUGUAAAAUCCCUGGGCUUAACCUAGGAACUGCAUUUUGAAACUGAAAUACUAGAGUAUCGUAGAGGGAGGUAGAAUUCUAGGUGUAGCGGUGAAAUGCGUAGAUAUCUGGAGGAAUACCUGUGGCGAAAGCGGCCUCCUAAACGAAUACUGACACUGAGGGUGCGAAAGCGUGGGGAGCAAACAGGGAUUAGAUACC
rnacentral:rRNA from 1 species